rnacentral:lncRNA from 1 species
ACAUGCACCACAGAAAAACCAAGAUGCUCCAAUGCUGUCAGUAAAAGCAAGCCCAGGAUAGGGAGAUGUUGUCACUUUUAGGAGUGUGAACUGAAGACAUCCAUAUUCACAUCUAGUUCGGCUCACUUGUCAUCUGCAUCUCUGGCACCAAGUUCUUUUCCCUCUGUGUGAACGGAAUUUCUUUUGGUGAACUCUGAUGAAGCUUCUGAGAAAAACUUCUGGCCACAAGUUUACUACGUCUGUACUUCACCAUUGUUUUCUUUCUCUGUGAUUUUUUUGAAGUUCUUCAUAAACUGAAGAACAAGUUGGAAGUUCACAUGAGGUGAGAAAGCUGAAAUUACACAGAUUAGGGGUUUCACCUUCUGCUGCAGACUGCUGCCCAAUCAGCUGACGUUCUCUGGGGACACACCUGCCCUUUGCUGAG